ensembl:lncRNA
GGCAAUUCAGUCAAAAGUACAAAGGCAGCGCUCUGAUAUACUGCAUUAAAGUUAAAUAAAAAUAGUUAUGAGCCUUUGCUAUCAGCCAAAAUUUACUCUGGAGCAAACAAUAUUUUAAUGAGACCAAAGAUGAUGGUGAUUUAUAAUGAAUUAUAUUUCAUGUUUAACCACUAUAGAGACGUAAGAGCCGGUGGCAAAUUCUAGCAGAUCUGGCCGAGGUGAGGCUGCUCUCGGCGGGUUCAUGAGCGCUGAACAGCCGGAAACGGUUAGAGAUCUGUUAUCAGUAGAUUUUAGGACCAGAAAAAACAGUUAUACACACACACAGACAUAUUUACACAUUCAUCAGUAAAUCAAUACAUUUAUCAAUAAAUAUAUUUUAUUCAGUAACGUACAUUACGACACAUAUGGCUUUAUAUACAUGUGCAUUAUUUAUGUUAAAAAAAAUGUACAUUAAAUCCAAAAACAAUCAAGUUUUUGACAUUCAUCCUCUUGCCAGUACUCUUGGUUCUUACAUUCUGAGGGAAUACCUGUAUUAAAUCCCUUUAAAGUACAUGAGACAUAAUCAAGAUAUCACAAUUUUCAACAGGAAGAGUUUGCGUUGGCUAGCAAAUGUUCGUUUUUCCAGAUCACAUCAGACAGUGCACUUCAGUAAUUUAAUGCUAAACACUGCACUGUUCACUCCUUCACAAGAAUAUUGAAUAUUUUUCUUAUUAGGGUGACUUUUGUGCAUGAGUUUGGUAUAAUGAGUCUUGCCUAUAGACACAACACAGCUUUCUUAUGUGCAUUCCUAAGUGUUAAGACUGAACUAUGGCAUAUAACCUGUUCAAUUAGAGCUGUGUGAAAUUAAGGAAAGAAUGUUGUUUGAGAUCCAAUUGACCUAGUGUCAAAAAGUGAGUUGUUAAGAGUGCUGGAGGAAGAGAUUUGGUUCCACACAACAGAGUUUGGCCCAAAACAUACCUUCUCCAAGUAAAUGAACACAAUCCCUUAAAGCUACACAGCUCAAUCUUGUGUGCCGUUUUGCGUUUUGAAUUACAGUUUUGACACAUUUCAGAUUGCAAGUAUGUGUUUCUUUCUCAGCAUUGCUGUAAGAAGCAUUAUAGCAGAUAGUAAAGUCUUCAGGUGAGAUUUAUUUUCUUUCAGAUCAACUAUUGCAAAUCAAAAGCUUGAAAGAUGUUGCUGAGAAAGUUUUAUGUGUUUGAAGCUAAUGUGGUUCAAUGGCACAAGCACUGAAGGUAAAACUAUUGCUCUCGUAAAUAUUGAUUAUUGAGAGCAACAUUUGAAGAGCUCAUGUUAUGCAUGCACUGGCAACACAUUCACGUCAUUAUUUGCA